rnacentral:rRNA from 1 species
GAUGAACGCUGGCGGCGUGCCUAAUACAUGCAAGUCGAGCGAACAGACGAGGAGCUUGCUCCUCUGACGUUAGCGGCGGACGGGUGAGUAACACGUGGAUAACCUACCUAUAAGACUGGGAUAACUUCGGGAAACCGGAGCUAAUACCGGAUAAUAUAUUGAACCGCAUGGUUCAAUAGUGAAAGACGGGUUUGCUGUCACUUAUAGAUGGAUCCGCGCCGCAUUAGCUAGUUGGUAAGGUAACGGCUUACCAAGGCAACGAUGCGUAGCCGACCUGAGAGGGUGAUCAGCCACACUGGAACUGAGACACGGUCCAGACUCCUACGGGAGGCAGCAGUAGGGAAUCUUACGCAAUGGGCGAAAGCUUGACGGAGCAACGCCGCGUGAGUGAUGAAGGUCUUCGGAUCGUAAAACUCUGUUAUUAGGGAAGAACAAAUGUGUAAGUAACUAUGCACGUCUUGACGGUACCUAAUCAGAAAGCCACGGCUAACUACGUG